rnacentral:rRNA from 1 species
UACGGGGGGAGCAAGCGUUGUUCGGAUUUACUGGGCGUAAAGGGCGCGUAGGCGGUCAGCACAAGUCAGUUGUGAAAUCUCCGGGCUUAACUCGGAAAGGUCAACUGAUACUGUGCGACUAGAGUGCGGAAGGGGCAACUGGAAUUCUCGGUGUAGCGGUGAAAUGCGUAGAUAUCGAGAGGAACACCUGCGGCGAAGGCGGGUUGCUGGGCCGGUACUGACGCUGAGACGCGAAAGCGUGGGGAGCAAACAGG